GGGGGCUUAGCUCAGCUGGGAGAGCACAUCCCUUGCACGGAUGGGGUCAGGGGUUCGAAUCCCCUAGCCUCCACCA
rnacentral:tRNA from 1 species